rnacentral:rRNA from 1 species
UACGUAGGUGGCGAGCGUUGUCCGGAUUUACUGGGCGUAAAGGGCGUGCAGGCGGUUUGUUAAGUGCAGAGUGAAAGCUCCCGGCUCAACUGGGAGAGGUCUUUGCAUACUGGCAAACUCGAGGGAGGCAGAGGAAAGUGGAAUUCCCGGUGUAGUGGUGAUAUGCGUAGAUAUCGGGAGGAACACCAAUGGCGAAGGCAGCUCGCUGGGACGGUACUGACGCUGAGGCGCGAAAGCGUGGGGAGCAAACAGG